GUGAAAUUGUUGAAAGGGAAACGAUUGAAGUCAGUCGUGCAGUCAUCGAUUCAACGGUUUAAAUUUGGGCUUUUGCUCAUGUUUGUCCGUGCAUUUUGGUGUCUGCUGGUCAGCGUCAAUUUCGAUUGUCAUAAAAAGGUCAAAGGGAUGUGGCUCCUUCGGGAGUGUUAUAACCUUUGGCGGAAUGUGGCGAUCGGGAUUGAGGUUUGCACGAUUAUAGUUUCCUGGCCUCUCAUCGACGUCUGAAUUGCGGAAGCUUGCUGAAGUGGUUUAGACCGUUUGUGAAAAGGUUGGAGCGACUAGAUCGUUAAGGAUGCUGACGUAAUGGCUUUAAACGAC
rnacentral:rRNA from 1 species